rnacentral:rRNA from 1 species
GUAAAAGACAGUUAUGUAUAAAAGUAAAGGACCAUUAGACCUCUAGUAAAGGAGUAAAAUCUAAAUAYUGGAAGUUACAUCGGAAAUGGUUUUGAGAUGCUGAAUCUGUGAAAUCUCUAAGGGAAACUGGGAUUGGAUACCCCAUUAUUUUUAGUCGUAAAUUUAGUUUAAGCUUACCAGAGUACUACGAAUAAAAAGUUUAAAACUCAAAGGGCUUGGCGGUGUUUUAGACCUCUUAGGGGAACCUGUCUCAUAAUCGACAAUCCACGCUAGACCUGACCCUCUGUGGUAAAACAGCCUGUAUACCGUCGUCGUCAGGUAACUUUUUAAAAUAUAGAAGUUAGCCCGAGAAUUGUAUUAAUUAAAACGUCAGAUCAAGGUGCAGCUAAUAAGAGGGAGAGGAUGGGUUACAAUUACAAAUUUGUAAAUAUGGAUCAACAUUUGAAAUAGAGUGUUUUAAAGGAGGACUUGAAAGUAAUUUUAGUUAUAUAAAUAGAAUGAAUAAGGCUCUGAAACGUG